rnacentral:rRNA from 1 species
UACGGAGGGUGCAAACGUUGCUCGGAAUUAUUGGGCGUAAAGCGCACGUAGGUGGUCUAUCAAGUCAGGUGUGAAAGCCCUGGGCUCAACCCAGGAAGUGCACUUGAAACUGACAGGCUUGAGUAUGGAAGAGGGUCGCGGAAUUCCCGGUGUAGAGGUGAAAUUCGUAGAUAUUCGGAAGAACACCAGUGGCGAAGGCGACUCACUGGCCCGAUACUGACGCUGAGGCGCGAAAGCGUGGGGAGCAAACAGG